ACCUAAACCCGACCGAGUGAAAAACCCGGAAACCGAGGUACGAGGUUGAGGAUUUGAAACAUAGGGCGGGACAAAGC
rnacentral:sRNA from 1 species